AAAUGACUUGAAAGUACAGUAGUAUUUUUCUUUUAAAAUGGUGUUCGAGCCAGCUUGCUCGCACCUCGAUAAUUCUACUAGCAACCUUCCACCAGCAGAAAGGCUUGGCCAGUUGACACACUUGGAACUUGUAAGUACAAUAGUUGGUUAAUAUUUCUAAGUCCUAUGUACUUGGAGCUUGGGAUAUUACAAAAUAGAGCUGCAUUCAACUUUCUGGGACUCCAGAACACUUCUAGCAGCCUCUUUGACUACUUGUCCACUCACAUAAUGCUUGCGGCAGACAGG
rnacentral:misc_RNA from 1 species